rnacentral:rRNA from 1 species
AGCGAACGCUGGCGGCAGGCUUAACACAUGCAAGUCGAGCGCCCGUAGCAAUACGGGAGCGGCAGACGGGUGAGGAACACGUGGGAACGUACCCUUCAGUUCGGAACAACCCAGGGAAACUUGGGCUAAUACCGGAUAAGCCCUUACGGGGAAAGAUUUAUCGCUGAAGGAUCGGCCCGCGUCUGAUUAGCUAGUUGGUGAGGUAAUGGCUCACCAAGGCGACGAUCAGUAGCUGGUCUGAGAGGAUGAUCAGCCACACUGGGACUGAGACACGGCCCAGACUCCUACGGGAGGCAGCAGUGGGGAAUAUUGGACAAUGGGCGCAAGCCUGAUCCAGCCAUGCCGCGUGAGUGAUGAAGGCCUUAGGGUU